AACGAACGCUGGCGGCGUGCUUAACACAUGCAAGUCGAGCGGUAAGGCCCUUUCGGGGGUACGACGAGCGGCGAACGGGUGAGUAACACGUGGGUGACCUGCCCUCAGCUCUGGGAUAAGCCUGGGAAACCGGGUCUAAUACCGGAUAUGACUCCAUGACGCAUGUUGUGGGGUGGAAAGCCUUGUGCGGCUGAGGAUGGGCCCGCGGCCUAUCAGCUUGUUGGUGGGGUGAUGGCCUACCAAGGCGACGACGGGUAGCCGGCCUGAGAGGGCGACCGGCCACACUGGGACUGAGGACACGGCCCAGACUCCUACGGGAGGCAGCAGUGGGGAAUAUUGGACAAUGGGCGAAAGCCUGAUCCAGCCAUGCCGCGUGAGUGAUGAAGGCCUUAGGG
rnacentral:rRNA from 1 species